rnacentral:rRNA from 1 species
CAAAGAGAAGCAAGACCGUGAGGUGGAGCAAAACUCAAAACUUGUCUCAGUUCGGAUUGUAGGCUGAAACUCGCCUACAUGAAGCUGGAGUUGCUAGUAAUCGCGAAUCAGCAUGUCGCGGUGAAUACGUUCCCGGGUCUUGUACACACCGCCCGUCACACCAUGGGAGUUGGUAACGCCCGAAGCCAGUGACCCAACCUUAAGAGGAGGGAGCUGUCGAAGGUGGGACCGAUAACUGGGGUGAAGUCGUAACAAGGUAAC